CCUACGGGUGGCUGCAGUGGGGAAUAUUGGACAAUGGGGGAAACCCUGAUCCAGCCAUGCCGCGUGUGUGAAGAAGGCCCUCGGGUUGUAAAGCACUUUCAGUGAGGAAGAACGCCUGGUGGUUAAUACCCAUCAGGAAAGACAUCACUCACAGAAGAAGCACCGGCUAACUCCGUGCCAGCAGCCGCGGUAAUACGGAGGGUGCGAGCGUUAAUCGGAAUUACUGGGCGUAAAGCGCGCGUAGGUGGCUUGAUAAGCCGGUUGUGAAAGCCCCGGGCUCAACCUGGGAACGGCAUCCGGAACUGUCAAGCUAGAGUGCAGGAGAGGAAGGUAGAAUUCCCGGUGUAGCGGUGAAAUGCGUAGAGAUCGGGAGGAAUACCAGUGGCGAAGGCGGCCUUCUGGACUGACACUGACACUGAGGUGCGAAAGCGUGGGUAGCAAACAGGAUUAGAUACCCCAGUAGUC
rnacentral:rRNA from 1 species